rnacentral:rRNA from 1 species
GAUGAACGCUGGCGGCGUGCCUAAUACAUGCAAGUCGAGCGAACGGACGAGAAGCUUGCUUUUCUGAUGUUAGCGGCGGACGGGUGAGUAACACGUGGAUAACCUACCUAUAAGACUGGGAUAACUUCGGGAAACCGGAGCUAAUACCGGAUAAUAUUUUUAACCGCAUGGUUCAAAAGUGAAAGACGGUCUUGCUGUCACUUAUAGAUGUAUCCGCGCUGCAUUAGCUAGUUGGUAAGUUAACGGAUUACCAAGGCAACGAUGAAUAGCCGACCUGAGAGGGUGAUCGGCCAAACUGGAACUGAGACACGGUCCAGACUCCUACGGGAGGCAGCAGUAGGGAAUCUUCCGCAAAGGGCGAAAGCCUGACGGAGAAACGCCGCGUGAGUGAUGAAGGUCUUCGGAUCGUAAAACUCUGUUAUUAGGGAAGAACAUAUGUGUAAGUAACUGUGCACAUCUUGACGGUACCUAAUCAGAAAGCCACGGCUAACUACGUG